GGAUGCGCCUGCUCUGGCGCCGUUCCACAGAACCGAACAACCAAGUACCCACACUCAGAUAGGCUCACGCAGGCAAACGGUCGUUUCUCCUCAACAUACAUCACCGCGUGCGUCGUCUGCUUCUCGCCGACAUCUCCCUGCGUAUCGGUGCCUGUGUGUGUGUCUCUCUCUCUGUGUGCGCGCUACUCGCUCACACCGCGCCUUGACGCAAGAACGUUGUCGUGGUGGUGGUGGAGGGGCGGGGUGCCUGUGCCCGCUGCGGCUCUACGCGUCUUAUGCGCCGCCUCGACCCUUUCUUGCACAAGCGUUCGCGAGUAGCGGAAAGCGAAGGGCAGCGAGAAACCUUGACGUAUUAGCGCCCUAGCGAGCGAUGCAGCCGCGAUGCGUGCGCGUGGUGGCGCUGAUGGUGGCCAGCACAUCAUUGCCGCACCGCAGCGCCGCUGCUGGUCUUCUCACAGCUCCCAGACGACCAGCGGUGAGAGGACUGCGCCAAGGGCGGCGUGCGCAUGAGUGCGUCGCCGCUUUCAGCACGGACACACGACCUCUCCGGACUGCCUGGAGAGGCGAAGGGCGACCGACAUUGACACCAGCGCGGCUAGUGACGCGAACGGAUGACAUCUGCACCAUUGGGACACGCGGCUGCAUGCGCGAUGCCAGCGCUGCCGUGUGCACGCGCUCCCCACUCACAGCUUUGUGCGUGUCGUGCGCUGCACUGGAGACGCGUCGCCGCUGCUGUGCAUCACUCGCGGGAGUGGCGCAUGCGCCGCCGAGCCCGUCGCACAACUCGUCCCGGUUGCGCGGCACUUACAGAGAGCGGCUCCCCUCAAGUUCCCUUCCAUCAUCGGCUUCGCGGUACACGAAGACAUCUCAGCAACGCAGACAGCGAGCUCAAGCGCCCUCUGGCCGACCCCCGAGUCCGCGGCGAGAGCAAAGAGGCAGCGCAGCUCGGCUGCGGACGCCAGAUGACGACUUCCGCGAUGACGCUCCUCCAUCGCAGUCGGAGGAGGUGCCGACAGCAGACGACGUAGACGGUGCCUCUGUCGCUGACGGCGGCAUGGGUGCAUCCGCUGCGGAUGACGCAGCUUCUUUGUCUACGGUGGCUCAUGACGCGAAAGCAGGGUGGGGGCUUGAAGACGUGAACUCUCUGACGGGAAGGACGCAGCUGGAGGAGCUGUAUAAACGCAACCUUGAUCGCAUCCGUGCCAUCCUCGAGCAGCCGCUGCCCGCUAUGCCACAGGACGGCAGCGUCGAUCCCGAUUUUUUUGUGGGCUUUGCAUCUUACAGUUAUCAGCUGCGAGACCAGUACCGCGCCAUCCUUGCGCGCGAGCUGCAGGUGCCGGUGAAGGCGGUGAGGCUGUCCGUUGCGUGGAGUGGCCGCUUCGACGUGCGACUCUUCGGGCGGGUGCAGAAGGUAUGUGGUGUGUGCCUUGAUCGGCAGGUACUGCGGGCAGCAACGCACAGCGAGAGGGAGAAGAACCCGGGUACUGAGCUAGCCCGCAAAGAGGGCGACUUCGCUGCCAAGACGCGCAUCACCGAGGCAGAUGAGGCAUCAUCAUUGUCGUCUGCCUCGGCCAUUCCAUUACCCGAGACGCUCCACAAGCGCAUGGAUGCGCUUGUAGCCGCCAUCAACGGACGCAGGCGUGAAGAUCUCCUCCAGGUGUCGUUCUUCCAAGCCUCGCCACCGAUCCCAGAGGUGGAGUUCGCGCUUACCCGACGAGAGCACAGACUCUUGUACCACCUGCACGAAUGGAUACGGCGCCACGUGUUGCAGAGUGCAUUGGUGGUCGUCGUGUACGGUGUUCCGCCUCCGCCGCCAAGUACUACCUCUACCGAUACGCGGGCGACUGCAGCUGCGCUUCAUUUCUCGACAGGCUUGCCCGAGCGACGUGAAGUUACGUGCGACACUGCUGGCGCCACAAACGGCGGCGCAGCUCAGCCGGACUCGUACGUGCAGUGGCAGCGUCUCUGCAGCACUCGAACGGCAGCGCAGAAACGCGAGGUGCAGGACAAGUGGCUGCGACUGCUUCAUCGACGCAGAGUGGUGCCGUUGAUGAUAUCACUGACUGCGCUGGCUUCCGAGGUUGCCGCGGCGGUGGUGCGCGGCGAGGUGCCUCACAUCGACUUCCGGCACGCAAAGCAGCAGACGGCGGAAGUGAAGCAGGCCGGUCGGGCAGCGGCGCAGGGCGGUGAGGAGCACGCGGCUGCGUCGGCCACGCCCUCGGCGAGUGCGACAGCGUCGCCGGUGGAACUGAGUGCGAGUCUGCAAGACGUACUGGUACACAUUGCAGCGGCGUCAUCGUCGUCGCCACCAUUCACGACGGACGAUGAUGGGGCGUCUGCGGAGGACAGUUGUGACCACGCUGCAUUUCCUCGUCGCGCCCAAGACGUGAUUGCCCCACCACACGGUGCUGACACCGCCACUGCCGCGGCAGUCGUCACACCGCUCUUCCGGCCUGCUUCCGCUGCUCAGAAAACGGCGACGAUGCGCUGGGUGCGGCUUGUCUACCAGGCGCUCCUUUUGCGAGAGACGCAGGGCAUCACCGACUGCAGCGGCCGCACGGAUGGCGAGCAGUCAACCAUGCGCAUCUCUCACCGAGCGUCGCUGCCUGCGCUCUUCGCGCAAGGCGCCUACGCUGGCGGCGAAGAGGAGGUUGCCUACCUGCAGCGCAACCGCGCCGCGAUGGACGCGCUGCUGCUGCAUCCGCACGAAAUCUCCUUCAAGAAGAAGUUUCUCAGUCGCAUGCGCAAUGGGCACCGCCGGCUGCGCAUGGAGGGCGAGAGCGCCGCGCCGUACGCCGUGAAUGGGUGAGUACUGGAGAAGGGAACGAAAAGUGCUGGCCGCGCGCGCGUCUGCCCUCUUCUUCACCCCCUCCCCUUCUCUCGCCGUCAGCCGUCAUCACAUUGUGUUAUCACUUGGCCCUCCACCCUCCCUUUUUAAACUUCUACUGUCCGCUCUAAUAGGUGCACACCGCUCUCCAGCGCGCACCUGACACGCCAUCACGCCCUCCGCCUCACUCCUCUCGUCUUCUCACAUCGCAGUACAGUUGAGCGCGUGCCCACCUGUGGGGCAAGGGCCGGGAUGGGUACCCGGCGUGGGUGGCAGGCGGGGGGGGUCGAGGCGGGAGACGUACCGCGGCGUCCCAAGUGCGUACCAUUGCGUAAGUCACGGAAGAGCAAAAUAAUUUGGCAGACAAUGUUUUGCACGUUCUCUGAAAA
rnacentral:misc_RNA from 1 species